rnacentral:rRNA from 1 species
GCGUGCUUACACAUGCAAGUCGAACGAACCUUCGGGUUAGUGGCGGACGGGUGAGUAACGCGUGAGAAUCUGCCCUCAGGAGGGGGAUAACGGUUGGAAACGACCGCUAAUACCCCAUAUGCCGAGAGGUGAAACGAAAUUCGCCUGAGGAUGAGCUCGCGUCUGAUUAGCUAGUUGGUGUGGUAAUGGCGCACCAAGGCUUCGAUCAGUAGCUGGUCUGAGAGGAUGAUCAGCCACACUGGGACUGAGACACGGCCCAGACUCCUACGGGAGGCAGCAGUGGGGAAUUUUCCGCAAUGGGCGAAAGCCUGACGGAGCAACGCCGCGUGAGGGAUGAAGGCCUCUGGGCUGUAAACCUCUUUUCUCAAGGAAGAAGAUCUGACGGUACUUGAGGAAUAAGCCACGGCUAAUUCCGUGCCAGCAGCCGCGGUAAUACGGGAGUGGCAAGCGUUAUCCGGAAUUAUUGGGCGUAAAGCGUCCGCAGGCGGCCUCGAAAGUCUGUCGUUAAAGCGUGGAGCUUAACUCCAUUUAAGCGGUGGAAACUACGAGGCUAGAGUGUGGUAGGGGCAGAGGGAAUUCCCGGUGUAGCGGUGAAAUGCCGUAGAUAUCGGGAAGAACACCAGUGGCGAAGGCGCUCUGCUGGGCCAUAACUGACGCUCAUGGACGAAAGCCAGGGGAGCGGAAGGGGAUUAGAUACCCCUGUAGUCCUGGCCGUAAACGAUGAACACUAGGUGUCGGGGGAAUCGACCCCCUCGGUGUCGUAGCUAACGCGUUAAGUGUUCCGCCCUGGG